GUCUUUUAAUACAUCUUUUUUCAUUCUUUUAGGUGUACUCUCGGUGCCUUUUCUUCAAUGCCCUUUGAAUGAAUUUGAAUGGGAAACCAGGUCGAAGAGAUUGUUUUGCCAAGGAAAUGAAGAAUACCAUUGUCUUCUUACGGAGGACACGGUAUCAAGAAAGGAGAAGUGUAUUCAAAUAACAACAAUAGCCGACGGGAAUUGCCCAAUAUUCACUACAACUGGCUACUUACGUAGCAGACCAUGCAAUAUUACAGGCUGUCCAAAAGAGAGGUACCGAAGUAAUGAGGUCUACAAAUAUCCAAUAUGUUAUGGCAAUAUUAAUGAAAAUACUAAUGGCGUAAUAAGGCAUGAAGGGAAAUCACGGAUGACUAUUUUUG